CGGCACGGUCCGGCGCGGCACGGAGGGAGGUUAUCGGGCGCGGGGGGAGGACUGAGGCUGGCAAGGUGAGAGCUCGGAUUGCCGGAGUGCCGGGAGGAAGCUGCCAUUUGUGAGCUGUGAGUGACGAGCGUAGAUCCUGAUGGUCCUUCACGAUCCCUUCUCAGACCUGGAAGAUGUAGAUGUGACUGCAAGAUAUCAUCAUCGUCAUCGUGGUGGUCACUGUCCUCGUCAACGGAACAACGCCCAACAACCCACCUCUACUGAAGAGCAACGACUGAACUAUGAACCACGCUGGACCCAUGGUGGUGACAAUCUCCCUCUUGCUCCCUCUAGAGACUCCUUGCUCCUAUUUCCUAUCUUUUCUACUGCCCUUCUUUCCUUCCCCAUCACCCUAAUUUGUACGUAUGAAGACUCCUUGCUUCUAUUUUCUAUCUUUUCUAUCGCCUUUCUUCCCUUCCCCAUUGCCCCAGUCCAUAAUAGUGUCUGUCCUCCCCUUUCCCCAUCUCCCUUAUUAACAUUUGUAAUAAACUGGUUGGACCAACAUCUGGACCGUUGUUUCUUAAUCUCAUGCUGGGUAUACAUAUUUCAAAGAACCUUCUCUCCCUCCUAUAAAUUGGAGCAAGUCGACCUUACUUUCAGAUAGUUGCA
ensembl:lncRNA